rnacentral:lncRNA from 12 species
UUGAAAUCUUGUUGACUUUGACUUUGCUAUCCUAGGAAAUUUAUAAUCUUUAUAUUUUUCUCUUUCUGAUGUUUUCUCCAGUUCCAUCAGGCCGUCUGGCCCACACACAAAGAACAUAGAAAGACCAGAGUCUGCUCCUCCUUCUAGACAGCCUUUUGCGGUCUCCCCCUCUUGUUCACAACCCUCUUCAGAUACCCCAGGAGAACUCAUCAAGUCUGAAGGAUGCACAGGUCCUGUUAGGAGGAGAGGAGGGGAGGAAGGGGGUUCUUCUUCCAGCCUUUCUCCCUCAAUAUCCUCCAUUCAUUGGCCCAGUAGCGCCCUCCUGCCCUGGCCGAGCAGCCUGACCAGCCAAUCAGAGCACGGGAGUGAUCAGGGGGAUGAAAAAGCACAGGAUGGCCAAUAUCCACAUCCAGCCAACCAGCAGAUCCGCUCUCACAGAAGCCCUUCCCUCCAUGUGCCUUAUCACCACGGUGACCACCUCGAAGCCCAAAGUUCCGUUCAGCUAACAAAUCAGCAAGAGGCUCUUCAAUCUCUACAGCGAGAGGUGAAACGACUGAAGGAGAGACUAGAGGGAAAUCUGAGACUCUCCAAACCUGCCAGUCCUGUUAGAGUGGCCUCUUCUGCCACAGAAGAUGCCAGGGAUCAGGCAUCCCCACGGACCGCAAGGUACCCGAAAUCAAUUGUUGGCAUUUUGAUCUUAGACUGUCCAUAUUAUGUUAGCUAA